rnacentral:rRNA from 1 species
UGGGGAAUAUUGCACAAUGGAGGGAACUCUGAUGCAGCGACGCCGCUUGAACGAAGAAGGCUUUCGAGUCGUAAAGUUCUUUUAUAUGUGAAGAUAAUGACUGUACCAUAAGAAAAAGCCCCGGCUAACUACGUGCCAGCAGCCGCGGUAAUACGUAGGGGGCUAGCGUUGUCCGGAAUCACUGGGCGUAAAGGGUUCGCAGGCGGAAAUGCAAGUCAGGUGUAAAAGGCAGUAGCUUAACUACUGUAAGCAUUUGAAACUGCAUAUCUUGAGAAGAGUAGAGGUAAGUGGAAUUUUUAGUGUAGCGGUGAAAUGCGUAGAUAUUAAAAAGAAUACCGGUGGCGAAGGCGACUUACUGGGCUCAUUCUGACGCUGAGGAACGAAAGCGUGGGUAGCAAACAGG